GUAAGCGUCAGGGAGGAGGAGAGGGAUCAAAGCAAACAGAGGAGAAGGGUCCAUUAAACCCUAAGAACUCAGCAAAACCGGGAUAAUUAUGUUAUGAAUAGUACAAUAAAAGAUGUAUUGUGGUGGGGAUUGGGAGUCUUUUCUUAUGUUUUAAAAAUAAGCUCAGUGAGCAUUUAUUUGUGUUUGGGGUUGGGGUCUUUAUGGUUUUAUUUUGGUACUGCAGUGUAUGCAGCUCUUGGUUAUUCUUUUGGUUGGAAUAAACAUGAUGUUUGUUAUGCUUUUUGCAUUUAUAUUAGAAUACGGUAGAUAGGGAUUAAGAGGAACUUUGUGGUACAGUGGUCUGUGUUCAAGAAUAAGGAGAAGCGAGGUAGACUGGGGUUAAAUCAGAUCAUUGGGAGUUUGUUAAUGUACAAUGGAGUCUGUGGGCAUCAGGUC
rnacentral:lncRNA from 1 species